rnacentral:rRNA from 1 species
CCUACGGGGGGCUGCAGUGGGGAAUAUUGGACAAUGGGGGCAACCCUAAUCCAGCCAUGCCGCGUGUGUGAAGAAGGCCCUCGGGUUGUAAAGCACUUUCAGUGAGGAAGAACGCCUGGUGGUUAAUACCCAUCAGGAAAGACAUCACUCACAGAAGAAGCACCGGCUAACUCCGUGCCAGCAGCCGCGGUAAUACGGAGGGUGCGAGCGUUAAUCGGAAUUACUGGGCGUAAAGCGCGCGUAGGUGGCUUGAUAAGCCGGUUGUGAAAGCCCCGGGCUCAACCUGGGAACGGCAUCCGGAACUGUCAAGCUAGAGUGCAGGAGAGGAAGGUAGAAUUCCCGGUGUAGCGGUGAAAUGCGUAGAGAUCGGGAGGAAUACCAGUGGCGAAGGCGGCCUUCUGGACUGACACUGACACUGAGGUGCGAAAGCGUGGGUAGCAAACAGGAUUAGAUACCCCAGUAGUC